CCCUUAGAUGUUCUGGGCUGCACGCGCGCUACACUGAUGCACUCAACGAGUUUACGACCUUGCCUGGAAGGGUUGGGUAAUCUUUUUAACAUGCAUCGUGAUGGGGAUAGAUUAUUGCAAUUAUUAAUCUUCAACGAGGAAUUCCUAGUAAACGCAAGUCAUCAGCUUGCAUUGAUUACGUCCCUGCCCUUUGUACACACCGCCCGUCGCACCUACCGAUUGAAUGGUCCGGUGAAAUCUCGGGACGGCGGCUUGGUCGCUUGCGUCCGACUGCUGAAACUUGAUUAAACCAUAUCAUUUAGAGGAAGGUGAAGUCGUANCA
rnacentral:rRNA from 1 species